rnacentral:sRNA from 1 species
CUACAAAUGAUAAUGUCAUAACAGAAGAAGGUUGUCUCACUAUGUGGCGUUACUAUUUCGUUUGCUUAGGCAAAGAGGGUAUCAUAUUUCGUCAGAUAUAUUUAACAAAUUCAAGAACAAUAAGGGAGACUUUGAUCAAAAGAUUGCAAAAGAUGUACAAGGAUUGUGGAGUUUGUUUGAAGCUUCACAGUUAAGGAUUCACGGGGAAGAUAUAUUAGAUGAAGCACUUGAUUUCACACAAACACAUCUAAAGUCCUUGAUUAAUCAAUUGAGUUCAUCCUUUGCUGCACAAAUAAGUCAUUGCUUAAGGAAACCUCUUCAUAGGGGUGUUCCUAGGUUGGAG